CAGUCCAAUUCGCUCACUUAUUGAGUCAGGAAUCAAUGCAAAUAAAAGAUCGGAUGUGAGGCUUUAUUAUGGAGCGAGAAACCUUCAGAGAAUGGCUUAUCAGGAUAGGUUCAAGGAUUGGGAGUCUAGUGGUGUUAAAAUUGUACCUAUUUUGUCACAACCAGAUGAGAGAUGGAAAGGUGAACAAGGCUAUGUAUAGGCUGCAUUUUUUAGAGCCAAACAAGUUCUAAAUCCUUCAUCGACUGGGGCAGUGCUCUGUGGACACAAACAAAUGACUGAGGAUGUUACAACUAUGCUAAUGGCUGAUGGUGUGCCGAAAGAUAAAAUCCUAAAGAAUUUCUAAUGGUGGACAUGGACUCCUGUUUUGUUGUAACAUUUUUGACAAAAAACCAUCAGAUAUUCUUUAACCACCAAACUACAAUCAUUUGAUUGAACUUGGAUAGAUUAGGAGC